rnacentral:rRNA from 1 species
AUUGAACGCUGGCGGAAUGCUUUACACAUGCAAGUCGAACGGCAGCACGGGGGCAACCCUGGUGGCGAGUGGCGAACGGGUGAGUAAUACAUCGGAACGUGCCCGGUCGUGGGGGAUAACGUAGCGAAAGUUACGCUAAUACCGCAUACGAUCUGAGGAUGAAAGCGGGGGACCUUCGGGCCUCUCGCGAUCGGAGCGGCCGAUGUCAGAUUAGGUAGUUGGUGGGGUAAAGGCCUACCAAGCCGACGAUCUGUAGCUGGUCUGAGAGGACGACCAGCCACACUGGGACUGAGACACGGCCCAGACUCCUACGGGAGGCAGCAGUGGGGAAUUUUGGACAAUGGGCGCAAGCCUGAUCCAGCCAUUCCGCGUGCAGGACGAAGGCCUUCGGGUUGUAAACUGCUUUUGUAUGGAACGAAAAGGCUCUGGCUAAUACCUGGGGCUCAUGACGGUACCGUAAGAAUAAGCACCGGCUAACUACGUG